AUUGAACGCUGGCGGCAUGCUUUACACAUGCAAGUCGAACGGUAACAGGGAGCUUGCUCCGCUGACGAGUGGCGAACGGGUGAGUAAUAUAUCGGAACGUACCCAAGAGUGGGGGAUAACGUAGCGAAAGUUACGCUAAUACCGUAUACGAUCCAAGGAUGAAAGCAGGGGACCUUCGGGCCUUGUGCUCCUGGAGCGGC
rnacentral:rRNA from 1 species